rnacentral:rRNA from 1 species
GACGAACGCUGGCGGCGUGCCUAAUACAUGCAAGUAGAACGCUGAAGGAGGAGCUUGCUUCUCUGGAUGAGUUGCGAACGGGUGAGUAACGCGUAGGUAACCUGCCUGGUAGCGGGGGAUAACUAUUGGAAACGAUAGCUAAUACCGCAUAACAGUAGAUAUCGCAUGAUAUCUACUUGAAAGGUGCAAUUGCAUCACUACCAGAUGGACCUGCGUUGUAUUAGCUAGUUGGUGAGGUAACGGCUCACCAAGGCGGCGAUACAUAGCCGACCUGAGAGGGGGAUCGGCCACACUGGGACUGAGACACGGCCCAGACUCCUACGGGAGGUAGCAGUAGGGAAUCUUCGGCAAUGGACGGAAGUCUGACCGAGCAACGCCGCGUGAGUGAAGAAGGUUUUCGGAUCGGAAAGCUCUGUUGUAAGAGAAGAACGAGUGUGAGAGUGGAAAGUUCACACUGUGACGGUAUCUUACCAGAAAGGGACGGCUAACUACGUG